GUGGAGACGCGCGGGAGCUCGGCAUGCCGGGCUGAGAGGAGAGCGCAAGGCUCUCGACCGCCAAGGAACCUGAUCCGGGUAAUGCCGGCGAAGGGAGCGAAAUGCCCAGAGAA
rnacentral:ncRNA from 2 species